UACGGAGGGAGCUAGCGUUGUUCGGAAUUACUGGGCGUAAAGCGCGCGUAGGCGGCUUUGUAAGUUAGAGGUGAAAGCCCGGGGCUCAACCCCGGAACUGCCUUUAAAACUGCAUCGCUUGAAUCCGGGAGAGGUGAGUGGAAUUCCGAGUGUAGAGGUGAAAUUCGUAGAUAUUCGGAAGAACACCAGUGGCGAAGGCGCUCUACUGGGCCACAACUGACGCUGAGGGACGAAAGCUAGGGGAGCGAAAGGG
rnacentral:rRNA from 1 species